UACGGAGGGGGCUAGCGUUGUUCGGAAUUACUGGGCGUAAAGCGCACGUAGGCGGCUUUGCAAGUUAGAGGUGAAAGCCCGGAGCUCAACUCCGGAAUUGCCUUUAAAACUGCAUCGCUAGAAUUGUGGAGAGGUGAGUGGAAUUCCGAGUGUAGAGGUGAAAUUCGUAGAUAUUCGGAAGAACACCAGUGACGAAGGCGACUCACUGGACACAUAUUGACGCUGAGGUGCGAAAGCGUGGGGAGCAAACAGG
rnacentral:rRNA from 1 species